CAAUCAGUUGCCUGUUAUUACGGGUGAGAGCAGGGUCUUUUCUUGGUACUACCACUUGGGGGCGCCACAGUCUGGAAUCUUAUUAAGAAGUACACUAAUAUUGUGUAUGAAGAGAUGUGAAGUUGGGUGGAAGGUUUACUUUUCAUUUCCUGCUAAUUUCUUUUCUACUUGUUUCAGGGGAAAGUAUUGCAGUUUUUACUCAACUACUCAAUUUCUAAAAUUAUUAAUAAAAUAGUUCCACUUUGUCUCACUACAACAAAAUAAUGGUUGCAGUUGUAUUAGUAAUACAAAAUGCCAAUUUUGUAUUACUAAUACAACUGAGGUCGGGGGGGUACCAAUAUUGGUACCCCCCCGACCCCCAACCAAUAGAGGCGGAGGGUACCAAUAUUAGGGAGUAUCUGCUGAUAAAAUUAGAAAUGAUUCCUUUGGUUUUAUUAUCAAACCUUUAUGACAAAGAAAUGUAAUGGAGGCUUGAUGUUUUACAGUUUAAACAUGAAUUUUUAUCAUGCAUAACUAUAAAUAUAACCAACAACCAACCAACAUACAGCACCAGUUAAACGUUUGGACACACGUUCCCAUUCAAUUGAAUAGGAAAGGUGGCAGCAUAGCAACCACUUGUGUAUUAUUGCUGUAAAACGCCCAUUGGGACUGCCAAUGAAUGGCAGCUGGUUGCUUUGCCUCUGUCUCUUGUUGCUAAUGUGACCAAGGGGUGGCGAGGGUCCCAGCCAAUGACACCAUUUCUAAGUGUUUUCUGCAUUGUCUAUUUGGUAAAAUAUGCUUUCAAAGUGGCAAAAAUAACAACACUGCUGUUAUGUUUGUGAAAGUCUAAUAUCGGCCGAUAUUAUCGGCCAACUGAUAUAUCGGUAGGGCUUUACAAAAUAUGCAUGUAAUUAGGCCAUCUGAAGGGACAGCAGCCCACACAAUGACUGCUGUUCCUUUUUGUCGUUAUACUUACCGUGUGUAGGAUUUAGUAUCAUCUACAGAUGUGGUUAAAAGUUGACACACACUCCUCGGAUGUAGGUAUGAAGGCCUCAUUCUAAGCUUAUGAAAACACAUUGAUUCAUUGUUGCAGGUAAUUUCUACACUAAUGAACAGAUGAUUGUGAACGCUAUAUUCUAUUUUUGCAAACAAACAUCCCUAAAUCAUACACACUGUAGCUUUUGUACUUGACUUUAUUUGCAAAUGUAAUUGGUGUGGCGGCAUAGCAAACACAA